AGUUUGGUCCUGGGUCAGAAUCCACGCUGGCGGCGUGCCUAACACAUGCAAGUCGAACGCGAAAGGGGAGCAAUCCCUGAGUAGAGUGGCAACGGGUGAGUAACACGUGCGUGACCUGCCUUCGAGUGGGGAUAACCUUCCGAAAGGAGGGCUAAUACCGCAUGACAUACCGUGUUUGGAUACACGGAUAUCAAAGCCGGGGAUCGCAAGACCUGGCGCUUGAAGAGGGGCCCGCGUCCGAUUAGCUAGUUGGUGAGGUAACGGCUCACCAAGGCUCCGAUCGGUAUCCGGCCUGAGAGGGCGGACGGACACACUGGAACUGAGACACGGUCCAGACUCCUACGGGAGGCAGCAGUGGGGAAUUGUUCGCAAUGGGCGAAAGCCUGACGACGCAACGCCGCGUGGAGGAUGAAGAAUUUCGGUUCGUAAACUCCUUUCGACCGAGAUGAACACCCAUGGACUUAAUACGUCUGUGGGCUGACAGUAUCGAGAGAAGAAGCCCCGGCUAACUCUGUGCCAGCAGCCGCGGUAAUACAGGGGGGGCAAGCGUUGUUCGGAAUUACUGGGCGUAAAGGGUUCGUAGGUGGCCAACUAAGUCAGAUGUGAAAUCCCUCAGCUUAACUGGGGAACUGCUUCUGAAACUGGGUUGGGCUUGAGUGCAGGAGAGGAAUGCGGAAUUCCAGGUGUAGCGGUGAAAUGCGUAGAUAUCUGGAGGAACACCGGUGGCGAAGCGGCAUUCUGGACUGUAACUGACACUGAGGAACGAAAGCCAGGGGAGCAAACGGGAUUAGAUACCCCCGGUAGUCCUGGCCUAAACGAUGAAUGCUUGGUGUGGCGGGUAUCGAUUCCCUGCCGUGCCGAAGUAACGCGAUAAGCAUUCCGCCUGGGGGAGUACGGCGCAAGGCUGAAAUUCAAAGAAUUG
rnacentral:rRNA from 1 species